rnacentral:rRNA from 1 species
GAUGGAUUGGUGCCUUCGGGAACUUAGAUACAGGUGCUGCAUGGCUGUCGUCAGCUCGUGUCGUGAGAUGUUGGGUUAAGUCCGCAACGAGCGCAACCCUUUUCCUUAUUUGCCAGCGGGUAAUGCCGGGAACUUUAAGGAUACUGCCAGUGACAAACUGGAGGAAGGCGGGACGACGUCAAGUCAUCAUGGCCCUUACGGCCAGGGCUACACACGUGCUACAAUGGUCGGUACAAAGGGUUGCUACCUCGCGAGAGGAUGCUAAUCUCAAAAAGACCGAUCGUAGUCCGGAUCGCAGUCUGCAACUCGACUGCGUGAAGUCGGAAUCGCUAGUAAUCGCGGAUCAGAAUGCCGCGGUGAAUACGUUCCCGGGCCUUGUACACACCGCCCGUCACACCAUGGGAGUUUGUUGCACCAGAAGUAGGUAGUCUAACCGCAAGGAGGACGCUUACCACGGUGUGGCCGAUGACUGGGGUGAAGUCGUAACAAGGUAGGCGUAGAUGA